AGAUGUCCGCUUCAGGUA
rnacentral:misc_RNA from 1 species